AGCGAACGCUGGCGGCAGGCCUAACACAUGCAAGUCGAACGAACCCUUCGGGGUUAGUGGCGGACGGGUGAGUAACACGUGGGAACGUGCCUUUAGGUUCGGAAUAACUCAGGGAAACUUGUGCUAAUACCGAAUGUGCCCUUCGGGGGAAAGAUUUAUCGCCUUUAGAGCGGCCCGCGUCUGAUUAGCUAGUUGGUGAGGUAAUGGCUCACCAAGGCUACGAUCAGUAGCUGGUCUGAGAGGAUGACCAGCCACAUUGGGACUGAGACACGGCCCAAACGCCUACGGGAGGCAGCAGUGGGGAAUCUUGCGCAAUGGGCGAAAGCCUGACGCAGCCAUGCCGCGUGGAUGAUGAAGGUCUUAGGAUUGUAAAAUUCUUUCACCAGGGACGAUAAUGACGGUACCCGGAGAAGAAGCCCCGGCUAACUUCGUGCCAGCCGCCGCCGUAACAC
rnacentral:rRNA from 1 species